rnacentral:rRNA from 1 species
UACGAACGCUGGCGGCGUGCUUAACACAUGCAAGUCGAGCGGGAACCUCGGGAGGGGUAACCCUUCCGAGGGGAGAGCGGCGAACGGGUGAGUAACACGUGGGCAACCUGCCCCGGACACCGGGAUAACCCAGGGAAACCUGAGCUAAUACCGGAUACUCCGGCGUGAUCGCAUGGUCGUGCCGGGAAAGCUCCGACGGUCCGGGAUGGGCCCGCGGCCUAUCAGCUUGUUGGUGGGGUAACGGCCUACCAAGGCGACGACGGGUAGCUGGUCUGAGAGGACGGCCAGCCACACUGGGACUGAGACACGGCCCAGACUCCUACGGGAGGCAGCAGUGGGGAAUCUUGCGCCAAUGCGCGAAAGCGUGACGCAGCGACGCCGCGUGCGGGAUGAAGGCCCUCGGGUCGUAAACCGCUUUCGGCAGGGACGAAGCGAAAGUGACGGUACCUGCAGAAGAAGUCCCGGCUAACUACGUGCCAGCAGCCGCGGUAACACGUAGGGGACGAGCGUUGUCCGGAUUCAUUGGGCGU